rnacentral:rRNA from 1 species
UACAGAGGUCUCAAGCGUUGUUCGGAUUCAUUGGGCGUAAAGGGUGCGUAGGUGGCGCCGUAAGUGGGGUGUGAAAUUUCGGAGCUUAACUCCGAAACUGCAUUCCAUACUGCGGUGCUUGAGGACUGGAGAGGAGACUGGAAUUCAUGGUGUAGCAGUGAAAUGCGUAGAGAUCAUGAGGAAGACCAGUGGCGAAGGCGGCUAUCUGGACGGUUUCUGACGCUAAGACGCGAAAGCGUGGGGAGCAAACAGG